AUUGAACGCUGGCGGCAUGCUUUACACAUGCAAGUCGAACGGUAACAGGCCGCAAGGUGCUGACGAGUGGCGAACGGGUGAGUAAUGCAUCGGAACGUGCCCAGUCGUGGGGGAUAACGCAGCGAAAGCUGCGCUAAUGCCGCAUACGAUCUAUGGAUGAAAGCGGGGGACCGUAAGGCCUCGCGCGAUUGGAGCGGCCGAUGUCAGAUUAGGUAGUUGGUGAGGUAAAGGCUCACCAAGCCAACGAUCUGUAGCUGGUCUGAGAGGACGACCAGCCAAACUGGGACUGAGACACGGCCCAGACUCCUACGGGAGGCAGCAGUGGGGAAUUUUGGACAAUGGGCGCAAGCCUGAUCCAGCAAUGCCGCGUGCAGGAAGAAGGCCUUCGGGUUGUAAACUGCUUUUGUACGGAACGAAACGGUCCGGGUUAAUACCCUGGGCUAAUGACGGUACCGUAAGAAUAAGCACCGGCUAACUACGUGCCAGCCGCCGCAGUAACAC
rnacentral:rRNA from 1 species